GCCAUAUCACGUUGAAACACUAGUUCUCAUCUGAUCAAUGAAGUUAAGCAAUGUUGAGCCUAGUCAAUACUUAUGUGGGUGACCUCUUGGGAAUACCAGGUACUGUAAG